rnacentral:rRNA from 1 species
UGAUUUAUCAGGGUGACUGCGUACCUUUUGUAUAAUGGGUCAGCGACUUAUAUUCUGUAGCAAGGUUAACCGUAUAGGGGAGCCGAAGGGAAACCGAGUCUUAACUGGGCGUUAAGUUGCAGGGUAUAGACCCGAAACCCGGUGAUCUAGCCAUGGGCAGGUUGAAGGUUGGGUAACACUAACUGGAGGACCGAACCGACUAAUGUUGAAAAAUUAGCGGAUGACUUGUGGCUGGGGGUGAAAGGCCAAUCAAACCGGGAGAUAGCUGGUUCUCCCCGAAAGCUAUUUAGGUAGCGCCUCGUGAACUCAUCUUCGGGGGUAGAGCACUGUUUCGGCUAGGGGGUCAUCCCGACUUACCAACCCGAUGCAAACUACGAAUACCGAAGAAUGUUAUCACGGGAGACACACGGCGGGUGCUAACGUCCGUCGUGAAGAGGGAAACAACCCAGACCGCCAGCUAAGGUCCCAAAGUCACAGUUAAGUGGGAAACGAUGUGGGAAGGCACAGACAGCCAGGAUGUUGGCUUAGAAGCAGCCAUCAUUUAAAGAAAGCGUAAUAGCUCACUGGUCGAGUCGGCCUGCGCGGAAGAUGUAACGGGGCUAAACUGUGCACCGAAGCUGCGGCAGCGACACUAUGUGUUGUUGGGUAGGGGAGCGUUCUGUAAGCCGUUGAAGGUGUCCUGUGAGGGGUGCUGGAGGUAUCAGAAGUGCGAAUGCUGACAUAAGUAACGAUAAUGCGGGUGAAAAACCCGCACGCCGGAAGACCAAGGGUUCCUGUCCAACGUUAAUCGGGGCAGGGUGAGUCGACCCCUAAGGCGAGGCCGAAAGGCGUAGUCGAUGGGAAACAGGUUAAUAUUCCUGUACUUGGUGUUACUGCGAAGGGGGGACGGAGAAGGCUAUGUUAGCCGGGCGACGGUUGUCCCGGUUUAAGCAUGUAGGCGG